GGGGUGGCCGUCCGGCGGGAGGGAGCCCUGAGCCGAGCCCCCGGCCGGGGCAGGAGCGAAAAUGGACAUCCCGCAGCUUCCCAGCGCACGYAUUUUCCUUUGUCAGGAAACGUGGCUUUUGCUGAUCCUGAUGGAAGUUGUGCUGUCAGCCGUCAAAGUGGACGCCGCUGCUGCUGGCUGUUAGGGAGAYGGAUGUUUCUCAGCAGAAAAAGAAAUGAGAGGAAGAAAAAGAAGGAGGAUGUUUAGGAUAUCAGAGAACUGGGAGAGAAAAAAAUGGUGUCUCUGGCAAGAGAAGAGGAUGCUGGUUGCAGGCUUGAAGAGCUAAGGAAGAGAAGUCCCUGAAUGGAAGUGCCAGGACAGACAGCCAAAUGGAGUGGAUCAGGCGCAGUUAUCUUUAGCGCUCUUUGGCGUUCAUUGGAUAGUGAUGUUAAAGGCCUCAAAUAACUUUGGAACUAUUCUGAAUUGUAGAUUUAGUAAUUCACAUGGCUUAAAUAAACUUAGGUAGCAUUAACUACCUGAAG
rnacentral:lncRNA from 1 species